rnacentral:rRNA from 1 species
UACGAAGGGGGCUAGCGUUGUUCGGAAUUACUGGGCGUAAAGCGCGCGUAGGCGGACAUUUAAGUCAGGGGUGAAAUGCCGGGGCUCAACCUCGGAACUGCCUUUGAUACUGGCUAUCUUGAGUUCGGGAGAGGUGAGUGGAAUGCCGAGUGUAGAGGUGAAAUUCGUAGAUAUCAAGCGGAACACCGGUGGCGAAGGCGGCCUUCUGGACAGUGACUGACGCUGAGACGCGAAAGCGUGGGGAGCAAACAGG